rnacentral:tRNA from 1 species
UGGCGCAGCUGUAGCGCAUCUGACUCCUGAUCAGAAGUUUGCGUGUUCAACUCAUGU